CGGGGCUGCGGCAGGAAGGGCACCGGGGCGGCCCCGCCGCGGGGCUGGGUUGCGCCCGCGAAGGGACCGUGUUGCGGCCCGGCGCGGAGGGAGCGGCCCGCCCGCUUCCUGAUGGCCGAGCUCCGCGUCCCUGCAGGCAAAAGCCGAGACAAAAGGUAAUUAGACGCAUCGUAAUUUGAGUACAGUGGGUGCGGUGCCGUCCUGAACGGCAGAGAUUUCAGAUCUCCCAGUGCAGCGGGCGUCAAAUCUUCCCUCCCCAUGGGGAAAGAAUUUCCCCCAUGGGAGUUCUCCUUCGGGAGCCCGCUUCUCCCCGCCACUCGCCUGCCGCGGGGGGUCAGCAGCACCGCGGCCCCGCAGGACUCUCCUUGCGCUGGGUUUACAAGGCGUAAAUGCUGGAUAAAGUCGGACUUCUGUUAUACCUCCAUGUAUUAAGUUUUGUGGGGAGAUUUUUCUUUUUAUUGCCACUGCUUGCAUUUUAUUUUAGGUGGUAUCUUACGGAUGGAAGUUCACCAAACCCCCCUCCAGUCGUAAAAAGGUAGAAAGAUGUGACCUGACGAGUUAGCUGAGGCUAUUUCUGCACCCAAAUAUGAGACUGAAGAUGUAUUGGAAGUAGCUUGAAACUAGUCGGCUUUGGUCAAAUUAGCUGUUUUAAGUGGCAGCAUGCUACUCCCUAUGGUCAACAAAAUCUGUCAGCAAAUUUGAGUAGACGUUCAGCUGCUGGCUUCUACUGAGGUCUGUGCUGCUAUAGAGGUGCUCUUACCUGAGCUACCCAGUUUAAAACAUUCAUGUCUACAUCAAGUACACCCACACUUCUGGCCUCAGUUUAGACACAGAACUGUCUCUCAAGUUAACUAAUCCUGGUAGAAGCAAGGCGGUUGGUAGUUUUCACCUAAAUUAACUGGUUAGAUUUAGAACUGUGUGGGAGCCUAAUUUUAACACAAUAUGUUAACUCCUGUGAAAAUGAAGGAUAUCUUUGUCCUCAUGGGAUUCUAGUUUGACGCAGUCUGAUUUUUUUCCAUUUCUCAGUGUAUGUAAAAGUCAAGACCAGGCUGGAGGGAAAGCGACAUGAUAAAUGGAUGUCAUCCAGCUGCAUGCCUGAACUGAAAAUAGGUAAGCGUAUGGAAAAUUAUUUACUGUGAGCUAAUGACACAAAUGCAUACACCCCUCUACAUGUGGUGUUUCUUUUUUAUUAUGGUGACUAUAACUAUAAAAAGAUGUAAAAGUGGUACUGUCUGUGUCAGACAGUGAUCUGGCACACAUAGAAAAAAGAGAUCCUUUAUUGUGUUUGUUUUCCCUGUUGAAACCAAUUCUGGUUUUAAACAUAUAUAUGCACUGAGUCCUUAUUUUUUAACAAUAAGGUAGUUGCUGCAUUGUAUCUUUCGGUUUUAACAGUGAAGGAAUUAUCUUGUUACUUUGACUGAAGGUGAACCCUAUCCUCAGCUGAGAAUAUACCAGUACGGUGUGUGUGUGUACGUUCUUACUGUUUUAACUUUCUGUGUGUGGACAACACAGAGUUUAGAAUGUUACUGGCCAACUGGACAGGCUGUUCAAAAGCGAGAAAUUGCUUUAUGUUUAUCUGAGGUGCAGGUUAUUUCCCCUUUAAUGUGAAUAUACAAUUAAUCAGCAAAUUCUUCCUGUUUCACUGAUAAUAUUAAACAAUAAUCAACUCUCCACAUGUUCAAUACAGGUUAUACACUGUGUAGAGUGUUGGUAUCAAAACAGGUGUUACUAAGCCUUGAGGAAGUCUCACCCAAACUUGUAAUUUGUAUUAAUUAUAUCUCUCCAUUGUUAUAAGCUUACUUAAUUCUUAGCUAUCCAUGUUUAUUGUCAACAAUUUAUUAAUUGUCAGGUCUCCAUACCUGUAAUUACCCAGAUGAUAUGAUAUAAAUCCUAGGAAAACACUGAUUUUUUUUUUUUUUUUGGAGACAUGCGUUGUCUAUGAAUAUCACUAUAGUACUGAUGACUUCUUGUUGUCAAGCCUUAGUGAAAAAUUGUCCUUUUUGAUUGAUAAAUGGGAAUUAGUAAUCUCUACUGGUUGUUACACUGGCAGUUGUGUGUAUUAUUGCAUAAUUUAUUUGUGUAAUGCUUUUGUCUCUCUUUAAAAAAAAAUAAAACAGAUUUGUCACA